GGUCCAUAUCGUCUCGAAACACACGUUCACGUCAGAUCACCGAAGUUAAGCGAGGUUGAAACUGAUACCUAGAUAGGUGAGCGCUCGGGAAUACCAGUUACUGUAAU